CCUACGGGUGGCUGCAGUGGGGAAUAUUGCACAAUGGCGGAAACCCUGAUGCAGCGAUGCCGCGUGAGUGAAGAAGUCCUUCGGUAUGUAAAGCUCUUUCAGCAGGGAAGAAAAUGACGGUACUUGAUCAAGCCGCCCCGGCCAACUACGUGCCAGCCGCCGCGGUCCUACGGAGGGGGCAAGCGUUAUCCGGAUUUACGGGGUGUAACGGGAGCGUAGACGGCAGGACAAGUCUGGGGUGAAAUGACGGGGCUUAAGGGCGGAACUGCCUUGGAAACUGUGCAGCUGGAGUGCAGGAGAGGUGAGUGGAAUUCGUGGUGUAGCGGUGAAAUGCGUAGAUAUUAGGAGGAACACCGGUGGCGAAGGCGGCUUACUGGACUGUAACUGACGUUGAGGCUCGAAAGCGUGGGGAGCAAACAGGAUUAGAUACCCCUGUAGUC
rnacentral:rRNA from 1 species